CUUUAACAGCCACGCUGGCUUCGCUGUACGACGGCCAUGUUAGCUUAACGACCGCUGCGAAACGAGAUCGUAAAACCGACAGGCGGUCGCGCGAUGACCCGCUUGAAGGAAGCGCAGUGCCCUUUGAAGGUAGAAAGAAAACUGCGGAAGAGAUCAAAGGCGAACUGCAAGUUUUAACACGCCUAAAGAGGACUGAACUUUCGCUCGAAGCUCUAACGUUAUAGGUUGCGCUCAUGCAUUACCCAGAAACACGGCUUGUUUAAGUGCUUAGAAUGCAGUUUUGCAGGCUAUCUCUGCUGACUUCAAGGAGUUCGAUCCUGACCGCCUCCAGGUUGACUCAGCCAUCCAUCCUUCCGAGAAGAAAAAUGCCACAGCUUGCUUCUGAAGAACCUGGCGGAGAGGAAGAAGAAGAGUUGCAGAGGAUCUGGUAGGAAAGGCCACCGCGCCGAAUGUUAAAAACAGAACCAGGCCGGCCAAACAGCUGCAGGAAUGCAGAGCGAAGAGCGCAUUUCUCCAGAUGUGACUUCCAGCUGCCUUCUUCUUCGUCACCACCUGCUGUGGAUCUGUCCCUCCGCCUUCACAAAAGCACACCCACCCACCCACCUCUACGUAGUUGGGUGAUUAGUCUAGCCAUGUUUGUUCCGUAAUAGAUAUCCUGGCUUCCUGGGUAGCCGAAGGAGGAGACAAUGACUGGAACAUCCAAAAUGCAACGUCAGGGUCAUUCGGAGUGUCCCAAGGAUUCUUGGGCCACCAGAUCAUGUCCUGUCAUCUUGUUGUUGUCACUACCUGACUCUGUGGUCUCUUCCCAAAAAUCCUCAAAGCUUUAACCAAAAACUGUCUACUAUUGACCUCACCCCAUUCCUAAGAAGUCUGCAAGGGGCGUGCAUAAGAGCACAAACGUGCCUACCAUUCCUGUCCUAUUGUUUCCUUUCAUUUUAUCCAAUUAAUAUAGUUAUUACAUACUUAUAUAUAUGCUUAUAUAUUACUGUAUGUAGUUACUUUCAUACUUAUGCUUAUAUAUACUGUUGUGACAAAAUAAAUAAAAACAAUAAAAACAAAACCGGAAAUGGAGCCAGUCUUGGCGAUUGAUGGUACUAGUAGUCCUUGACUUCUUAUCGCAAUUGAGACCCGCAUUUCCGUGGCUAAAGUGAGAAAUUUGUUCCGUGAGUUUUGCCACGCUGUACGAGCUUUCCGGCCACAAUUGUGAAGUGAAUCGCUGCGGCUGUUAAAGUAGUAACUUGUUAAGUUACUAAGGUGAAUCGGGUUCCCCCACUGACUUGGCUUGUCAGAAGAUCACGAAAGAGGGAUCACGUGGCACACACCCCCGGGGCCUUGCAAGCGUCGUAACUAUGAGUCAGUUGCCUCUGAAUUUUGGUCAUGUAACCAGAGGCUGCAGACCGAAGUGGUGGGCGAAAUGCAAAGCCGUGGACACUGUGAUACGAUGGGA